rnacentral:misc_RNA from 1 species
AAAAUGCCACCAUGCCAACAACUCCAGCAUAGUAAGGCAACUCCAGCCAUAGCAAAUACAGAAUCACAAAGUAUCAGCAAGGUCAACAUGCCAGGCCCUGGCAACCCAUUGUAGUCCCACGGACCCACCAUUUCAAGCAGAUAAUCUGCUCAAAACAGAAUUCAUGACUACCAUAUAUCUCUGAACCAAAAGCAGCCUAUUAGAAUUCAUCCACAGCCAAAUCAAUGGAAGACUACCGCAUCUCCUUCUUCAACCUUUCAACAUCAAAGGUGACAAGUAAUUGAUGAAGCGUGUUUAUUUUCAAUCUGGGGCCAGACAUGGGAUAAAGAGUUACAAGAUCCAUAUACCAUAACUAUAAUUUUCCUCGGGCACUUCAUUGUCACGGUAGCAAUCACAUUCCUGAUGAACCUCAACAACUGCACAGGUAAUUUUAUCCAACCCUUAUCAUUCCUACUUAUCCAACCUUUUCGUACUGAGUCUUCACCGUAGACUGACCUAAAUAACUACCAAAGUAGAAAAAAAAAAUACAAGAACUCUACCAGGCAUUAAAUAAUGAAAGCAAUUGGAAAUUGAUGACUAACAAAUCUAAACCACCGAUACCAUAUCAAGUUGUGAGAGGCAAUUUGUGCAUAACAAUAAAAAGGUACCAGCCGG